CUGUGUUCACUGACAGACCUUAAAUAAUAGUCUGUGCUUCUUCUGGUUUGCAGUAGGAUGCAAAAAAAAAUAAAAAUAAAAAUAAAAAGUCUCUGCACUUUCUAUCUGGUCUUUGUGGUGGCCCAGAAUGAGUAGGGAAACAUAUUU